CAAAACUACUUUGAGUGAAACCAUGGGCUGCAAAGCUGUUUCUUGAAACCAGAAUAAUACAAUUUCCAUUACUUAUCUGCUCUAUAUAAGUGAUCACACCCUGCCUAAAUUUAGCGGUGGGCACAAUUCAAUUCCGUGGAGAUAGCUAAGCUGAUAUGGAAUGGGAGAAUAAGCCUCCCAGAGGCGAGUGGAAAUGGGUGGAUGGGAGUGAACUUAAACCAGUCUGUGAUUGAGGUCGUUCCCAUGCCACCCAUUUCUAUUGUUUCUGGGCGUUUCUCCCUUUCCCAUCGAGCUUAUGUAUAUGUUCAAUAAGAGUAGUGCCCAUUUUCUAGGUGUAAAUUUGGAUAACACUAUUUCCGCAUUGACAGAGACCGAGUACCAGCGAGUAAACGGUGAUAGCUGUGGCCUCUGAAUUUCUUUCUGGUCAUGGCUUAAAUUUCAGCUCAACGAAUACGUUGGUGAAAGACUUGUGCUUUGGUUCUGGACCUUACAAGUGCGGUAGAUUUGGUGGCUAUGGGUAUAUUUUUUAUUGGAAUGAAUUCCAUAAAGUUUAGUAAAUUUUAAUUAAAUUUUACA